rnacentral:rRNA from 1 species
ACGUAGGCAGCAAGCGUUGUUCGGAGUUACUGGGCGUAAAGCGUGCGCAGGCGGUUCGCUAAGACAGAUGUGAAAUCCCCGGGCUUAACCUGGGAACUGCAUUCGUGACUGGCGGGCUAGAGUAUGGCAGAGGGGGGUAGAAUUCCACGUGUAGCAGUGAAAUGCGUAGAGAUGUGGAGGAAUACCGAUGGCGAAGGCAGCCCCCUGGGCCAAUACUGACGCUCAUGCACGAAAGCGUGGGGAGCAAACAGGA